GCUGGAUAGCUCAGUUGGUUAGAGCUCGGUGCUGGUGAUGCCAGGGUUGCAGGUUCAAUCUGCGACAGCUGCAUAUUCCUUCGUUGCAGCA